CUGAUAUGACGUGCUUGCACUGAAUUGACGUUGGAUUCCCAGUGAGCGGCGGACGGGUGAGUAACACGUGGGCAACCUGCCCUGAAGCGGGGGAUAACAUCUGGAAACAGGUGCUAAUACCGCAUAACAACGAAAACCACAUGGUUUUCGUUUCAAAGAUGGUUUCGGCUAUCACUUCAGGAUGGGCCCGCGGUGCAUUAGCUAGUUGGUAAGGUAACGGCUUGCCAAGGCGAUGAUGCAUAGCCGAGUUGAGAGACUGAUCGGCCACAAUGGAACUGAGACACGGUCCAUACUCCUACGGGAGGCAGCAGUAGGGAAUCUUCCACAAUGGGCGCAAGCCUGAUGGAGCAACACCGCGUGAGUGAAGAAGGGUUUCGGCUCGUAAAGCUCUGUUGUUGGAGAAGAACGUGCGUGAGAGUAACUGUUCACGCAGUGACNGUAUCCAACCAAAAAGNUACNGGUUACUACGUGCCACAGGCGCGGUAAUUA
rnacentral:rRNA from 2 species